rnacentral:rRNA from 1 species
UACAGAGGGUGCAAGCGUUAAUCGGAUUUACUGGGCGUAAAGCGUGCGUAGGCGGUUCAUUAAGUCGGUUGUGAAAUCCCUGGGCUUAACCUGGGAACUGCAGUCGAUACUGGUGGACUAGAGUACGGUAGAGGGUGGCGGAACUCCGGGUGUAGCGGUGAAAUGCGUAGAUAUCCGGAAGAACACCGAUGGCGAAGGCAACCACCUGGCCUGUACGUGACGCUGAGGUACGAAAGCGUGGGGAGCAAACAGG